rnacentral:misc_RNA from 1 species
AAGCAAUUACAUAUCAAAUUCUCUGGCGGCAUGUUUUAAUCUUGAUAAGACCCUGAUCGAGAAAAUCUCAUCUUCUAAGAAACCCAAGAGUUUAAAUAUUGAGAUCUAUACGGGCGGCGAAGUGGCUAUUUGUGGCUGGACAGGUGGGAAGUUUUUAGCAACGGUGACUGUUCCACUGGACCUGAAAAAGGCAGAGUCUAGGCCUUGUGUGAUGCAUAAUGGAUGGAUUGGUAUUGGAAGGGGGAACAAGAAAGGAUCAUCCCUGGCAGAGUUUUAUUUGAGUGUUA